UCUUGGUCANUUUAGAGGAAGUAAAAGUNGUAACAAGGUUUCCGUAGGUGAACCUGCGGAAGGAU
rnacentral:rRNA from 1 species